CAACGAGAACAGAAAUCUCG
rnacentral:snRNA from 1 species